AGUGAACGCUGGCGGUAGGCCUAACACAUGCAAGUCGAACGGCAGCACAGUAAGAGCUUGCUCUUACGGGUGGCGAGUGGCGGACGGGUGAGGAAUACAUCGGAAUCUACUUUUUCGUGGGGGAUAACGUAGGGAAACUUACGCUAAUACCGCAUACGACCUACGGGUGAAAGCAGGGGAUCUUCGGACAUUGCGCGAUUGAAUGAGCUGAUGUCGGAUUAGCUAGUUGGCGGGGUAAAGGCCCACCAAGGCGACGAUCCGUAGCUGGUCUGAGAGGAUGAGCAGCCACACUGGAACUGAGUCACGAUCCGGACUCCUACGGGAAGCAGCAGUCUGGAAGAUUGAACAAUAAGCGCAAGCCUUAUGCAGCCAUACCGAGUGGGUGUAGAAAACCUUCGGAGUCUAAUGCUCGUUUUUUGGGUAAUAAGGGCAGCAGCUUAAUUUCCCACCGAUCUGAGGGUACCCAGAGUAUGAGCCCCAGGCAAAUUCGAG
rnacentral:rRNA from 1 species